rnacentral:rRNA from 1 species
UACGGAGGGUGCAAGCGUUGUUCGGAAUUACUGGGCGUAAAGCGCGUGCAGGCGGCCGAUUAAGUCCGGUGUGAAAGCCCGGGGCUCACCCCCGGAAGUGCGCUGGAAACUGAUCGGCUAGAGUACGGGAGAGGGAGGCGGAAUUCCUGGUGUAGCGGUGAAAUGCGUAGAUAUCAGGAGGAACACCGGCGGCGAAGGCGGCUUCCUGGACCGAUACUGACGCUGAGACGCGAAAGCGUGGGGAGCAAACAGG